rnacentral:rRNA from 1 species
GAUGAACGCUGGCGGUCUGCUUAACACAUGCAAGUCGAACGGGACCUUUCGGGGUCUAGUGGCGGACGGGUGAGUAACGCGUGAGAAUCUGGCUUCAGGUUCGGGACAACCACCGGAAACAGUGGCUAAUACCGAAUGUGCCUAAGGGUGAAAGAUUAAUUGCCUGAAGAUGAGCUCGCGUCCGAUUAGCUAGUUGGUAGGGUAAAAGCCUACCAAGGCGACGAUCGGUAGCUGGUCUGAGAGGACGAUCAGCCACACUGGGACUGAGACACGGCCCAGACUCCUACGGGAGGCAGCAGUGGGGAAUUUUCCGCAAUGGGCGAAAGCCUGACGGAGCAAGACCGCGUGAGGGAGGAAGGCCUAUUGGUUGUAAACCUCUUUUCUCAGGGAAGAAUAAUGACGGUACCUGAGGAAUCAGCAUCGGCUAACUCCGUGCCAGCAGCCGCGGUAAUACGGAGGAUGCAAGCGUUAUCCGGAAUGAUUGGGCGUAAAGAGUCCGUAGGUGGUUUUGCGUGUCUGCUGUCAAAGCUCAAGGCUUAACUUUGAAAAGGCAGUGGAAACUGCAAGACUAGAGGCAGGUAGGGGUAGAGGGAAUUCCCGGUGUAGCGGUGAAAUGCGUAGAGAUCGGGAAGAACACCAGCGGCGAAAGCGCUCUGCUAGGCCUGAACUGACACUGAGGGACGAAAGCUAGGGGAGCGAAAGGGAUUAGAUACCCCUGUAGUCCUAGCCGUAAACGAUGGAUACUAGGCGUUGCCCGUAUCGACCCGGGCAGUGCCGUAGCUAACGCGUUAAGUAUCCCGCCUGGGGAGUACGCACGCAAGUGUGAAACUCAAAGGAAUUGACGGGGGCCCGCACAAGCGGUGGAGUAUGUGGUUUAAUUCGAUGCAACGCGAAGAACCUUACCAGGGCUUGACAUGUCCGGAAUCUUAGGGAAACCUGAGAGUGCCUUCGGGAGCCGGAACACAGGUGGUGCAUGGCUGUCGUCAGCUCGUGUCGUGAGAUGUUGGGUUAAGUCCCGCAACGAGCGCAACCCUCGUCCUUAGCUGCCAGCAUUAAGUUGGGCACUCUGGGGAGACUGCCGGUGACAAACCGGAGGAAGGUGGGGAUGACGUCAAGUCAGCAUGCCCCUUACGUCCUGGGCUACACACGUACUACAAUGCUACGGACAAAGGGCAGCCAGCCAGCAAUGGCGAGCCAAUCCCAUAAACCGUGGCACAGUUCAGAUCGCAGGCUGCAACUCGCCUGCGUGAAGGCGGAAUCGCUAGUAAUUGCAGGUCAGCAUACUGCAGUGAAUACGUUCCCGGGCCU